rnacentral:lncRNA from 1 species
CUCACUGCUAGGGAGGUCAAGGCUAGCAGAAUCUCACAACAUCCAUCCAAGAUCCAUGUGAAAACUUCUGAAGAACCCCGUGGUUUUGACCAUAUUUUCUAGAUCUAUUGGAUUGUAAAAGAACAAAUGAAAAACAUUCACAGGAAGGUGUUGUGAGAAUGGGUAACUAUUACAUGCCUGCAAGGUGACAAAUUCUGGCUACUGUGUGCACAUGAAAGGAGUAGGAAAAGAGAGUGGAGACCAGUCCAAGAGCAUGAACUGGCUAAAAUGAGACCUGGCUG